ACAUCAAGCGUCAUCAAUAGCGUGGUCUAUGGUGCAAUGCUAUCGCUGGAGUAAGUUGUUUACCUUCAAUUUGGGAAGCGUCAUGAUUGGACUACCCUGAUGGCGUCAUGAUCGCUGCUGAUUGCCUUUCAAAUAGGUUUUCAGCAUUCUGCUUACACCUUUGGCAUAGAGUCACAUAUUUCACAAUCCAACAUCAAUUGGUAGCAACAGCAGCCCUUCUCUCCAUCAUCCAGAAGGGUCUGAGAUCAGUGUUGGAGAUGAUGGUUCGGAACAACCCAUGGAAAGCUUAUCACUCAUUGAUGCUGUGAUGCCUGAUGUUGUUGCAAGUCGUCAACAGCAAACACAGAACAAUCAGAAACCACAAGUGGUAAAGACAGAACCACCAAAUUCCAAUGGAGAUGAACCCAUGCAUUCCUAUCGCUGGGAAGAGGAAACAGGAGUAGAGAUACCUGCCAGCAAAUCAACUGUACUACGUGGCCAUGAAUCUGAAGUUUUCAUCUGCGCCUGAACCCAACAACUGAUUUAUUGGCUUCUGGCUCUGGUGAUAGCACUAAGGACAUACGAAUGAAGUAAACGCUAUCAAGUGGGAUCCUCAGGGUAAUCUUUUGGCUUCCUGUUCUCACGAUAUUGUGUACAGUGUCGCAUUUUCUCCCGAUGGCAAAUACCUAGCAUCUGGUAGCUUUGACUAAGGUGUACACAGCUGGUCUACUCAGUCAGGGCAAUUGUUACACAGCUACAAAGGAACUAGAGGCAUUUUUGAAGUUUGCUGGAAUUCUCGGGGCGAUAAAGUUGGAGCAAAUGCUUUUGACGGAAGUGUAUUUGCUGGGAUAACUGAACAGAAGUUUUAAAGAAAGACGGAAACAAUUGACAAGGCAAAAUAUUGACCAGCCAUCAAAUGUGUCCGAUCCUUUUCCUUGAUGUGGUACAUGUAACAAGACACUUGUGUUCAUGAUUCGCAAGCACACAACAAGGAAAUCUACACCAUAAAAUGGAGUCUUACCGGCCUUGGAACAAAAAACCCAAACAUGAAUCUGAUUUUGACUAGCGCUUCGUUUGACUCGACCGUUUUGUGGGACGUUGAGCGUGGGUUGUGUAUUCAUACCUUAACCAAGCACUCCGAACCAGUGUGUAGAUAAAAAUGUUUUGAUUUGAUUUGUCAAUAAAAAUAAGAUAGAUAUGUAUUAAAAUUCAA